AUACGUAGGUGGCGAGCGGUAUCCGGAAUUAUUGGGCGUAAAGCGUACGUAGGUGGUUUCCUAAGGGAGGGGGUUAAGGCACUGGCUUAAACAUUGUUCGCACCCCGAAGUUGGGGAGUUGAGUGCUGGAGAGGAGAGAGUAAUUCCUGGUUUAGGGGUGAAAUGCGUAGAGAUUAGGAGGAACAUCAGUGGCGUAGGAGGCUUUCUGGAAAGUAACUGACACUGAGGUACGAAAGUGUGGGGAGCAAACAGGAUUAGAUACCCUGGGAGUCCACACCGUAAACGAUGAGCACUAGGUGUCGGGCUCGCAAGAGUUCGGUGACGCAGUUAACGCAUUAAGUGCUCCGCCUGGGGAGUACGUACGCAAGUAUGAAACUCAAAUGAAUUGACGGGG
rnacentral:rRNA from 1 species